CAUCGAGCGCAUCACUACAGUUCUGGUUUGAGCGUCUGCAAAAACGAUGUAUGGUAACAUGAUUGCAGGUAUGGUUACAUGGAACUAUAAGGACAAAAAAUUGCUAGCCUUGUGAAAAGAUCCAUCUCCGGUUGGUUAUAUCAGAUUGAACUGCUGUGAGAUACUUAAAACCUUACACAGAUGUUUUAGACAGUACCCACAUGUUUAAAGCAGCUUCGGCUGUGAUUGGAACAGUAGCAGUUUCCAGGAAUGUAUACAUUUGUAAUGGGGAAGACAUGUGAUCUGUUGACCAAACAACCACUUGAAACAAGGUGAACAGGAAAUACCUGGUUGGUAGACAGCUUGUGUGGAAAGUCAUUGAACAAGGUCUUUCUGUGGGAUGUUAUGUCAGAAGACGCCGCAAGGAAAACAAACUGGUGCAGCAGGAGUCAGCAUUUUAGUGAUAAACAAGUGGCAGGAAAGAACAUCAUGUAAGCAGUCACUGUUGUUGUCAUUGUAAAUGUUGGUUGUUUACUCUUCAAGAUUGUGCUGAUAGCAACUGCAUGUUGUAUUGUACUAAGCAAACAAGAAUAUGGAGUCACUUGCAGGUAAAGGUUCAUGUUUGUGGCAUAUAGGUAGGUAUUUGCCAGGUUGAGUUUUGACAAGAUUUUUUGAAGGUGUCAGAAAUUUCUGUUAAAAGUGAGAUCUUGUAAUUUGUUGGAGAAAACAAUGUAAACAUCCAAAGCAGCUAGCAUUCGAACAGCGAACAAACAUUCAUACAUUUAGUUUUCAUACUUGGUGCUCUUCUGAGUGAGUGUCUUCUUGCACAUUUGGAACAGGUUACUUUUGAAAUACCAACCUAAAUUCCAAGGAAGCAUCACAAAAUGAGGUUUGGGUGUUUCUCAAACUGCAGUUCUUGUUAAAUAUUGAGACUGUCUCAUAAAUUUCCUUUACCAGUUUUCUUUGAUACACUUCUUUUCCUGUAAAAGUUCCUUGAACAAUUAGGCACUAAUCUUAGUUCCUGUUUGAAUGUAAGUGGUUCCAUGUGUUAAGGAAACUACAGCUAAUUCAUUUGAAUUAAAAGUUAAUUUGAUAUAGCCAUGCAUCUUGACUAUCAAAGAUGAAUGAGCAGUCCUACCUGAAGUAGUUACUGAGAACUGUAUCUAUGUUAGUCCGAGUCUUUGAUUAGUGGUUGUUAGGUGUUUGCUGAUUGUUUGUUAUUAUAAGCAAUUAAGAUGAAACAAAAGAUAAUAUAGUAGGGUUCCUUGACUUACACCAGAUAUACUCUUGACAUGAUUGUAUCAAUUGACUGGUAAAUAUGGCAAACCCAUCCCUAAGACAAGUGGCUUAAUUCUGGACGUGUGUUAUUUCAGACACUUUAUCUGUUUGUGUUAAUAAUUUCAGUACACAAUUUUAAAUCAUUCAGCAAGCUGUUUAACUAAAAGAUACUGCCAUAGAUUUACUUCAGAAUUUAUUUUCUUUUACUUUAAUAGGAUUGCACAAUUUCUGUUGUUAGUAUAUCCCAAUAAAAGGAUGUUGACCUUCUGAUACAAGGAAUGUAAAAUUGGAAGUAAUUCAGUAUUUUGUUAUUGUUGAUUAAAAACUUUCAGAGACCACAGUUGGAUAUUGAUUGUAUAUAUUCGCUUUAAUCAAUCAGGGACUAAUUCUGCCCAUUGAUAUAGACAUUUUAGAAGUGUCCACAACUGUAUGACAUUAACACCCUGAAGCUAUAUUCCUGUAUGUGCCAGCUACCUAAAAUAACUUCUCAAAUUUACUAAAGAAAAAUCUGAAUCAACAGCUUACUUUGAUGACACAGAACACAAUGGCAUGGAAAUUGGAGAACUUAGUUUAUUGUUGUGUUCAGGUAACUGUUAGUGUAUCAAUUUCUCAACUUGUCACAUUUGAUAAAAAGCACCUCCCACAGCCUUUUUUGCCAAGUACUUGUCAAAAUGUUGUGAUCAUUGAGCCAUGAUAUUGGACUGACUAUAUCUUUAUUGGAUAUCAGAGAUAAGAUCUUGGAUGAAUCAAAUGGUAGUACUGAUAUAGGUGAAGAUAUCAUCAUCAGUACAGACAUUAUAAAUGACAUUAGUGGUCAUAUUGUAACACUUUUAAAUAGCGAUAUAGACACAUUGAGGUCUGAUAGUGAUCUCUUUGAAAUAACUUAAUAAAGAACAAAUUUGUCUAUACACAUACAAUUACUGCAAUUUGUUUUUAAUAGUUAGAUGUCAUAUUUAUAAGUGUCCAGGGGUUUAAGAAAUUACCUAACAUUAAAGCUUCUUCACUGUUAUGGACAGUGUGUCUGCUACAUAUCUUUUUUUUAUGAUUGUAUUUUGAUGACCUGUUCAGCAUUUCCUAAUAAAAUGUCUCAUUUCAUGAAAUCAAAAAGUUCUGUUUUUUUUCAUUUUAUCUGUAUCACAAAACUGUAGGGAUGUUCAGCUGAUGUAAAUGAAAGUAUCUCUAUGAUUCUAAGAGAUACAGUACAAUAUGGAGAUAUAUGCUGAGGAGAUGUGAUUAAAUGAAUGUUUCUCUAUUUUUAGCUCAUCCGAUAUUUUGGAAAAAAAAUGAUGAGUUAUUGUCAUCACGUGAUCGGCAUCGGCAUUGGCAUUGCCUGGUCAAGUUUUUGUGCUUAGGUCAGCUUUUCUCAUAAACUAUCAAAGCUAUUGUUUUAAAACUUGCAACACUUGUUCACCAGUUUUAAAACUUGCAACACUUGUUCACCAUCAAUACCUGACUCCUGUAUAGCAAGAAACAUAACUCCAUCCUGCUUUUUGCAAGAAUUAUAGCCCCUUUUGGACUUAGAAAAUAUCAGAUUUCUUGGUUAAGUUUUGCGUUUAGGUCAACUCCUUAACGGUCAAAGCUAUUGCUUUAAAACUUGAAGCAGUUAUUCACCAUUAAAAGCUGACUCUGCACAGCAAGUAUCAUAACCCUACAUUGCUUUUUGCAAGACUUAUGUCCCCUUUUGGACUUAGAAAAUUAGAUUUCUUGGUAAAGUUUUGUGUUUAGGUCUAUCAAAGCUGUUGCUUUAAAACUUGCAACACUUGUUCACCAUCAAAAGCUGGCUCUGUACAGCAAGAAACGUAACUCCAUCCUGCUUUUUGCAAGAAUUAUGGCCCCUUUUGGACUUAGAAAAUAUCGUAAAAACACACGGGUAGGACAAUUUUUCUGUUAUACAGUGACAAAAAAUCAGAUGAGCAUCUGCACCCGCAAGGCGGUGCUCUUGUGCUUUAGUGGGGACCUCUUUGGCUUAAAAGGUUGCUGAUUUUGUAUUGCUGGGUUCUCACUGGUGUGAGGCUGAACCUCACCAGGGAUGGAGAAUCAGUUCAGUUGAGAUAGUCAUACAUCUAGCCUCAACAUAGGUGCCUUAGCCAAUGUCAGAAAAUCAAGCAAGAUACUCGUAACCUUUAGCCUGCACGCGGCAAGUGAUUUCACCUUUAACCUGCUGGUGGCAAGUGAUUCAACGAGGGCAGACCAGGGAUGUGCAGGCUGAUCUUGGUCUGCACUGUUCACUAUUCAGUCAGUAAAUUUUCAGUCAACACCCCUUCGAAUAAUAAAUGGUACCGCCGAAAUUGAAUGAUGAACCAGUCCAUUUAAGAAAUUUAGUAAAUUGAGUAAAGUUUCCCCAUAAUUUGUUGAGUUGUUGGUCUUCACAACCUAAAAGGACUUGCCAUUCAGCUAUUGGUGUGACUUCCUAACAAAACUCACUAAUUGCCUAUAUUGAUCAUGAUAAAACUGAUAGAGUAAAACUGAUGAAAAAAAAUACAUAUGAAGUAUUGUAUCUUAAGUAUACUCAAAUUGUGAGAAUACUUUCAAAUUGCGAGCGUACUCUCCUAGAGUGAGGCGAUUACUGAAGAUGAUGAUGAUCUGGAAUAGAUGUAUAGUAUGUAGUAGUAAGGCUGUGUCUGAUUUUGACCGGAAUGUUUUAGGUAUGUAUCCAACUAUUUCUCCCCAAUUUCAUCAAAGUCUUCAGGUAAUGGGAUCUAAUUAAGUGCACACUUAAAACUUGUUACUCCCUGCACAUUAACUGUACUUCAUACUCAGGAAAUGUCCAUAUAAUUCCCUCUAAUGAUAAUGACAUGGCCACUGCUGGUAAUUAACAGCCCAUCAUGUCUGAGUAGCAAGGACCUCCCUGUCUAAUCUCUCUUUUAUUUUGUUGUCUUUCUUCUUUAUUGCAUCUCAUUUGUAGCAAAUUAUUACCUGGAAACAAUGUUAGAAUUAAUUUUACAGAUCAGUCCCAAUGUAUAGUGGUAAUUCAUGUAGAAUUCCCUGUCUUAAUUGGUGUUUACAGAAACUUUGAAGCAGAUACCAGAUACACAGUUGGUCAUCCAUUUGAACUUUGUGAAAAUUAUAUUCUUAACACAUUGAUAACUGCAUUAAUUUUAUUUUCUGGUAAACACACAGACAUAUUUCAUUCUACUAAUUCAAACAAUGUAUAGAAUACAUCAUCAAAAGUGAAAUUCUGUCUGUAGUUGAUUCUUCAAGUAAAUAGGAAAAGAUCUUCUUUAUAUUGAAUUGCAACAAGUUUGUAUUUAUGACAUGACAUUUGUCUGGUUUUCAGGAUAAACCUUUAUGUUUAAUGGUUACAAACAAUACAUUUUCUAUUUACAGAAGAAGUUUAUGAUGGAAAAACUGGCAGGAUGGUCUGACAUAAAGAUUAUAAGACUACAUACACUUUGCCACCUCAUACCAUCAAAAUUGCUGUGGUAGACAAAUUAUGGGAUAUUUCUUUGAACAGUAGCAACCUUACAUGCUACUGCUGUGCUGGUCAGAGGGAUCCCGUCUCUUACAGAUCUAGAUUGGUAUAUUGUGAUACAGACACGGGAUAACCAGCAAACAGACGAAAUCUAUUCCAAAAUAUCCAGAUCCGUUCAUCUUCCAGAA